AUUGAACGCUGGCGGCAGGCCUAACACAUGCAAGUCGAGCGGAUGAAGGGAGCUUGCUCCUGGAUUCAGCGGCGGACGGGUGGGUAAUGCCUAGGAAUCUGCCUGGUAGUGGGGGAUAACGUCCGGAAACGGGCGCUAAUACCGCAUACGUCCUGAGGGAGAAAGUGGGGGAUCUUCGGACCUCACGCUAUCAGAUGAGCCUAGGUCGGAGUAGCUAGUUGGUGGGGUAAGGGCCUACCUAGGCGACGAUCCGUAACUGGUCUGAGAGGAUGAUCAGUCACACUGGAACGGAGACACGGUCCAGACUCCUGCGAGAGGCAGCAGUGGGGAAUAUUGGACAAUGGGCGAAAGCCUUGUCCAGCCAUGCCACGUGUGUGAAGAAGGUCUUCGGAUUGUAAAGACCUUUAAGUUGGGAGGAAGCGCAGUAAGUUAAUACCUUGCUGUUUUGACGUUACCGACAGAAUAAGCACCGGCUAACUACGUG
rnacentral:rRNA from 1 species